ACGAACCUCCCUGUCCGGUGGGGGGGGUGGCGGGCGGGACCACACACGACUCCAGCUCUAAGGUCCCCGGAGUCUGCGAUCGUCGAGUGGGGUUGGCUGGGGCACGGUCUAGCGGGAUACCUGCUUCUGCUCCAAGCCUCGCUCGCGGGGUCGGGGCCCACCUCGGUGUCAUGCGUCCUCUCCCGGCUCCUUCCAGGUACCGGCCGGGGGAGGGGUGGCUGGCGGGGGCUGGGAAGGGCGCGGGCCAGCCCGCGGGUGGGCGGCCGCGAAGGGGAGGGACCCCGCACGGGGCUGCGGGAGGUGGGAGGAGGAGGAAGUGGGCACUGCGGGGGGGAAGGGCCAUCUCCAGCGCCUCUCGACGGCGGCCCCGCAGCGGGAAGCGGCUCCCUAUCUACAAGUGAAAGGGCGAAGCGCCGGGGGAGGAGCGCUUCCGGCAGAGUCGGGGUCAGCUCUGUGGAUGGGGUGGGUGUGGGGGUGGCAGGUACAACAGAUAGCCGAGGGCCCCCUCCCCCGGGGGCAGGGAAGGAUCGCCGGGGCGAGGCCGCAGGCGGGCGGUCUUCGGAGGCGGAGCCUUCAGGUAAGCCAGUCUGGAGGGGAGGGAAGGAGCCGCCGGGUCCGCGGGCUCCCGGGGGUCAGGUGGACCUCACCUUCGGGGCUGGGGUCCCAGAAGCCCCGAACCCCAGACGCCAGGAGACCCCGUCCUUCCAGCAAGGCCCAGCACCCCGGCUGGCGGGGAGCGUUCGGGGCGGGGCAGCCGCAGACCACGCCCCCCUCCAGGUAGCGCGCGGCCAGGUAGGGCGGGUUUGCCUUCACCCAGGCCCCAGCUUUGCCCUCCCCGCAGCACAAGGUCGAGCAGGGGCCCGGAAGUCGCCCUGCGGUCAGUCUGGGCGAGACGAUGGGGUUCCCCGGGCGCCCGGGGCCCCCAAACUCCAGCUACGGAAACAGGAGGCGGAGAUCAGCCUCUUUAUGACUUGGCAGAGGCAAUUCAACAUUUCUUCCUCGCAUAAAAUAGGAAUUGCUCUAUUUACCUAG
rnacentral:lncRNA from 1 species